GAUAGGAUAGCUCAGUUGGUUAGAGCACUACACUUUUAAUGUAGGUUAUGGACUCAAAAUCCAUUUUCAACA
rnacentral:tRNA from 1 species